rnacentral:rRNA from 1 species
GUUUGAUCCUGGCUCAGGACGAACGCUGGCGGCGUGCCUAACACAUGCAAGUCGAGGGGUUUCGAGUUAGCAAUAAUUCGGAAUCACUGGCGCACGGGUGCGUAACGCGUAGGCAAUAUGCCUUUAGGUUUGGGAUAACCCCGAGAAAUCGGGGAUAAUACCGAACGAUGCAGCGGCACCGCAUGGUGACAGUUGUUAAAGCUCGCAAGAGCGCCUAAAGAUUAGCCUGCGUCCUAUCAGGUAGUUGGUGAGGUAACGGCUCACCAAGCCUACGACGGGUAGCUGGUCUGAGAGGAUGAUCAGCCACACUGGAACUGAGACACGGUCCAGACUCCUACGGGAGGCAGCAGUGAGGAAUAUUGCUCAAUGCCCGAAAGGGUGAAGCAGCGACGCCGCGUGAGGGAUGAAGGCCCUAUGGGUUGUAAACCUCUGUAGGGAGGGAAGAAACUGGUGCUUUGCGCCACUGACGGUACCUCCAAAGUAAGCCCCGGCCAACUACGUGCCAGCAGCCGCGGUAAUACGUAGGGGGCGAGCGUUGUCCGGAAUCACUGGGUGUAAAGGGUCUUCAAGCGGACUGGCAAGUCAGAGGUGAAAUCCUGCAACUCAACUGCAGAACUGCCUUUGAAACUGUCGGUCUUGAGUCCGGGAGAGGAUGGCGGAAUUCCUGG